rnacentral:tRNA from 1 species
AGGAUUUUAGUUUAUUAAGGAUAAAAAUUUAACUUUAGCAGUGUUAGGAAAUAAAAGUUCU